rnacentral:lncRNA from 1 species
ACUUCUGGACUUUGUAGCUGACGUGGCCCCCAAGUACCUUUUUAUUGCUUAAGUGAAAUUCUGUCAGGUGUAGUCAAUAGUCUGCCUAAUUUCAUUAGGGCUUUACUGCUUUAGCUGAAUACUUUCCUGGCAAGUUUAUAAAGACUGGGAAUUGCUUUAGGAGUUGAGCCAUCACAGGACCUUCUUGGUCAAGUUUGUGUUUUUCCUGGCAAUUAAAUUCCUUUAACAUCCAGCAAGUGCCAGAAAUCUUACUGAGUCACGAUUCCAGAAUCCAGAUUCUGCCUCUGAUGUUUCAGUCUCUUGGCAACAGCAGUUGCCUGUCCCUGAAGCGCUAGGUCACAGUUGAAUACUUUUGUUUUUGCUGCUACCUGUGAAACAACAGCUGUACAGUGGACACACUGCCUUGGUACCUUAGAGAGCCCUCGAACAGACCAGCCCCAGCACUUGAACAGAGCAUUCCUCUUCAGGGGACGAAAACCAUGGUCCAGAUCAAGAAGCAUAAACGAGGAAAUUGAAAAUCCCGCAUUGUUCUAUUUCCGAGUGAAAAGCUUUGACUCACCACUAGAGGGCACUAUUCACCCUCUCAUCUUUCUGAAGGUUUCAGCCCAGCAGGGCUCGUUUUCAAAUGAAAAUAACUGCAUUUACUAAG